rnacentral:piRNA from 1 species
UGAAGCAUUGAUUGACUAGUA